rnacentral:rRNA from 1 species
AGCGUAGACGGCAAGGCAAGUCUGAUGUGAAAACCCAGGGCUUAACCCUGGGACUGCAUUGGAAACUGUCUGGCUCGAGUGCCGGAGAGGUAAGCGGAAUUUCUAGUGUAGCGGUGAAAUGCGUAGAUAUUAGGAAGAACACCAGUGGCGAAGGCGGCUUACUGGACGGUAACUGACGUUGAGGCUCGAAAGCGUGGGGAGCAAACA